rnacentral:rRNA from 1 species
CCUACGGGUGGCAGCAGUGGGGAAUAUUGGACAAUGGGGGGAACCCUGAUCCAGCGACGCCGCGUGAGUGAAGAAGUAUUUCGGUAUGUAAAGCUCUAUCAGCAGGGAAGAAAGAAAUGACGGUACCUGACUAAGAAGCCCCGGCUAACUACGUGCCAGCAGCCGCGGUAAUACGUAGGGGGCAAGCGUUAUCCGGAUUUACUGGGUGUAAAGGGAGCGUAGACGGCAGUGCAAGUCUGGAGUGAAAGGCGGGGGCUCAACCCCCGGACUGCUCUGGAAACUGUACGGCUGGAGUGCAGGAGAGGUAAGUGGAAUUCCUAGUGUAGCGGUGAAAUGCGUAGAUAUUAGGAGGAACACCAGUGGCGAAGGCGGCUUACUGGACUGUAACUGACGUUGAGGCUCGAAAGCGUGGGGAGCAAACAGGAUUAGAUACCCGAGUAGUC